GAGUUUGAUCGUGGCUCAGGAUGAACGCUGGCGGCGUGCCUAAUACAUGCAAGUCGAGCGAACGGACGAGAAGCUUGCUCCUCUGAUGUUAGCGGCGGACGGGUGAGUAACACGUGGAUAACCUACCUAUAAGACUGGGAUAACUUCGGGAAACCGGAGCUAAUACCGGAUAAUAUUUUGAACCGCAUGGUUCAAAAGUAAAAGACGGUCUUGCUGUCACUUAUAGAUGGAUCCGCGCUGCAUUAGCUAGUUGGUAAGGUAACGGCUUACCAAGGCAACGAUGCAUAGCCGACCUGAGAGGGUGAUCGGCCACACUGGAACUGAGACACGGUCCAGACUCCUACGGGAGGCAGCAGUAGGGAAUCUUCCGCAAUGGGCGAAAGCCUGACGGAGCAACGCCGCGUGAGUGAUGAAGGUCUUCGGAUCGUAAAACUCUGUUAUUAGGGAAGAACAUAUGUGUAAGUAACUGUGCACAUCUUGACGGUACCUAAUCAGAAAGCCACGGCUAACUACGUGCC
rnacentral:rRNA from 1 species